rnacentral:rRNA from 1 species
GACGAACGCUGGCGGCGUGCUUAACACAUGCAAGUCGAACGGAAAGGCCCUGCUUUUGUGGGGUGCUCGAGUAGCGAACGGGUGAGUAACACGUGAGUAACCUGCCCUUGACUUUGGGAUAACUUCAGGAAACUGGGGCUAAUACCGGAUAGGAGCUCCUGCUGCAUGGUGGGGGUUGGAAAGUUUCGGCGGUUGGGGAUGGACUCGCGGCUUAUCAGCUUGUUGGUGGGGUAGUGGCUUACCAAGGCUUUGACGGGUAGCCGGCCUGAGAGGGUGACCGGCCACAUUGGGACUGAGAUACGGCCCAGACUCCUACGGGAGGCAGCAGUGGGGAAUAUUGAAAAAUGGGCGGAAGCCUGAUGCAGCAACGCCGCGUGCGGGAUGCCGGCCUUCGGGUUGUAAACCGCUUUCGCCUGUGACGAAGCGUGAGUGACGGUAAUGGGUAAAGAAGCACCGGCUAACUACGUG